AUGAACGCUGGCGGCGUGCCUAAUACAUGCAAGUCGAGCGAACAGACGAGGAGCUUGCUCCUUUGACGUUAGCGGCGGACGGGUGAGUAACACGUGGGUAACCUACCUAUAAGACUGGGAUAACUUCGGGAAACCGGAGCUAAUACCGGAUAAUAUUUCGAACCGCAUGGUUCGAUAGUGAAAGAUGGCUCUGCUAUCACUUAUAGAUGGACCUGCGCCGUAUUAGCUAGUUGGUAAGGUAACGGCUUACCAAGGCAACGAUACGUAGCCGACCUGAGAGGGUGAUCGGCCACACUGGAACUGAGACACGGUCCAGACUCCUACGGGAGGCAGCAGUAGGGAAUCGUCCGCAAUGGGCGAAAGCCUGACGGAGCAACGCCGCGUGAGUGAUGAAGGUCUUCGGAUCGUAAAACUCUGUUAUUAGGGAAGAACAAACGUGUAAGUAACUGUGCACGUCUUGACGGUACCUAAUCAGAAAGCCACGGCUAACUACGUG
rnacentral:rRNA from 1 species